UGCAGUCGAGCGGACAGAUGGGAGCUUGCUCCCUGAUGUUAGCGGCGGACGGGUGAGUAACACGUGGGUAACCUGCCUGUAAGACUGGGAUAACUCCGGGAAACCGGGGCUAAUACCGGAUGCUUGUUUGAACCGCAUGGUUCAAACAUAAAAGGUGGCUUCGGCUACCACUUACAGAUGGACCCGCGGCGCAUUAGCUAGUUGGUGAGGUAACGGCUCACCAAGGCGACGAUGCGUAGCCGACCUGAGAGGGUGAUCGGCCACACUGGGACUGAGACACGGCCCAGACUCCUACGGGAGGCAGCAGUAGGGAAUCUUCCGCAAUGGACGAAAGUCUGACGGAGCAACGCCGCGUGAGUGAUGAAGGUUUUCGGAUCGUAAAGCUCUGUUGUUAGGGAAGAACAAGUGCCGUUCAAAUAGGGCGGCACCUUGACGGUACCUAACCAGAAAGCCACGGCUAACUACGUGCCAGCAGCCGCGGUAAUACGUAGGUGGCAAGCGUUGUCCGGAAUUAUUGGGCGUAAAGGGCUCGCAGGCGGUUUCUUAAGUCUGAUGUGAAAGCCCCCGGCUCAACCGGGGAGGGUCAUUGGAAACUGGGGAACUUGAGUGCAGAAGAGGAGAGUGGAAUUCCACGUGUAGCGGUGAAAUGCGUAGAGAUGUGGAGGAACACCAGUGGCGAAGGCGACUCUCUGGUCUGUAACUGACGCUGAGGAGCGAAAGCGUGGGGAGCGAACAGGAUUAGAUACCCUGGUAGUCCACGCCGUAAACGAUGAGUGCUAAGUGUUAGGGGGUUUCCGCCCCUUAGUGCUGCAGCUAACGCAUUAAGCACUCCGCCUGGGGAGUACGGUCGCAAGACUGAAACUCAAAGGAAUUGACGGGGGCCCGCACAAGCGGUGGAGCAUGUGGUUUAAUUUCGAAGCAACGCGAAGAACCUUACCAGGUCUUG
rnacentral:rRNA from 1 species